rnacentral:rRNA from 1 species
UACAGAGGUCCCAAGCGUUGUUCGGAUUCAUUGGGCGUAAAGGGUGUGUAGGCGGCGCCGUAAGUCAGGUGUGAAAUCUCGGGGCUUAACUCCGAAACUGCAUUUGAUACUGCGGUGCUUGAGGACUGGAGAGGAGACUGGAAUUUACGGUGUAGCGGUGAAAUGCGUAGAGAUCAUGAGGAAGACCAGUGGCGAAGGCGGGUCUCUGGACAGUUCCUGACACUGAGACACGAAGGCCAGGGGAGCAAACGGG